rnacentral:lncRNA from 1 species
AGUGAAUUCUUGCCGAUGAGGAGUUUGAAAUAAAAUAACUUAAAAGGGUUUCGAUCAAGGAGUUUUUGAGCUUUCUUCAAUAAUUUAAUGAGAGAAACCCUCCAAGUUCAUCCAUGAUCAGAACUUCAACUUUUCUGAAGCUGUUCAAAGCAACCUCACUGGUUUGAUUCCUCCUGCUAUUACUUAGUAUGUGAAAUAUAUUUGGACCCCAACUGAAAUAACCUCAGCAGGGAGAUCA